UGCAUCGGCCGGGAAUCGAACCCUGGCCGCCCGCGUGGCAGGCGAGUAUUCUACCACUGAACCACCGAUGC